rnacentral:rRNA from 1 species
GACGAACGCUGGCGGCGUGCUUAACACAUGCAAGUCGAACGGAAAGGCCCUGCUUUUGUGGGGUGCUCGAGUGGCGAACGGGUGAGUAACACGUGAGUAACCUGCCCUUGACUUUGGGAUAACUUCAGGAAACUGGGGCUAAUACCGGAUAGGAGCUCCUGCUGCAUGGUGGGGGUUGGAAAGUUUCGGCGGUUGGGGAUGGACUCGCGGCUUAUCAGCUUGUUGGUGGGGUAGUGGCUUACCAAGGCUUUGACGUGUAGCCGGCCUGAGAGGGUGACCGGCCACAUUGGGACUGAGGUACGGCCCAGACUCCUACGGGAGGCAGCAGUGGGGAAUAUUGCACAAUGGGCGGAAGCCUGAUGCAGCAACGCCGCGUGCGGGAUGACGGCCUUCGGGUUGUAAACCGCUUUCGCCUGUGACGAAGCGUGAGUGACGGUAAUGGGUAAAGAAGCACCGGCUAACUACGUG